GUUUAAAAUAUAAUUCAUAUCACCUGUUCCCUCCAAUUCAAACCCCAAAUUUUGGAUUCCCUCCCAUUGUCCUCCCUCAAAUUAUUAAAUUCCCUCUAAUUCCAGUUUUAAUUUAGUUUCACCAUACUAAUACCCUUGUUGAUACUCUCAAUUUUCCAUUCUUCCUUUUAUCCCCGUCCCUAAAUCACUCUUUUACUCUUUCUAAUCUUCCCUAUUUAGCCCGAUGCAGUUGCCGGAACUUUCAUGGGAACAAGACGGGGGUGAAACUCCUUAUGGAGGAAAACUAUCCCUUCAUCUACACCACUAACCGAUUGGGAGUUUCCGGUGACCCACAAAAAUGGUAAACAAUCUUAGCCACCAGUGGGUUUCAAGUUUAGUCAAAUCAGAGGUGAAGUGUUUCUUUGUGCGAAAGCAUUUAUGGACGUAAGAGAGGAUGUUUAGACCAAUUGUGAUGAGAAGCGGUUGAUGAGGAAGCAAUCACAUGACCAAUUGAAUUGCAUUCGCUAGAUACAUCAAUCUCACACAAGAUUGGAUAGAUAAUCAUUAUCGAGUAUGGGUUCUUUCAAAACGAAGGAGGUUAUGGAAACUGGGCACUUUUAAAACCAUUCAUCUAGAUGGCUGCGCUUGAUUUCUAGGUUUGUUAGAAAGUGACAAAGUUUGGUAUUAAUGUGUUAUUGAUGGUGAUAUUCUAAUGUAUUAGUACUUGCGCCACGGUUGAAGGAUCAAAUGGCAGAGUUGAAACAAGAUGAAGCAUGAUAUGAAGGAGAAAUUUGUAUCUUUAUAUUGUUAGGUUUCAAUAAGUUUGAUAUUCUUUUUCCUAUUUCGUUUGUAUAUUCAUCUUCGGUGUGAUUUGUAUAUAUGUAUUUAAAAUUUAAACUGA